GCCAGCGUGGCGGAAUUGGUAGACGCAGUGGAUUCAAAAUCCACCGUCCGCAAGGACGUGCCGGUUCAAGUCCGGCCGCUGGUA
rnacentral:tRNA from 1 species